GACGAACGCUGGCGGCGUGCUUAACACAUGCAAGUCGAACGGUAAGGCCCUUCGGGGUACACGAGUGGCGAACGGGUGAGUAACACGUGGGUGAUCUGCCCUGCACUUCGGGAUAAGCCUGGGAAACUGGGUCUAAUACCGGAUAGGACUCCUGGCUUCAUGGUUGGGGGUGGAAAGCUUUUGCGGUGUGGGAUGGGCCCGCGGCCUAUCAGCCUGUUGGUGGGGUAAUGGCCUACCAAGGCGACGACGGGUAGCCGGCCUGAAGGGGUGACCGGUCAAACUGGGACUGAGAUACGGCCCAGCUUCCUACGGGAGGCAGCAGUGGGGAAUAUUGCACAAUGGGCGAAAGCCUGAUGCAGCGACGCCGCGUGAGGGAUGACGGCCUUCGGGUUGUAAACCUCUUUCAGCUAUGACGAAGCGCAAGUGACGGUAGUAGCAGAAGAAGGACCGGCCAACUACGUGCCAGCCGCCGCAGUAA
rnacentral:rRNA from 1 species